rnacentral:rRNA from 1 species
AUGCAGCAGCAGGAGAGAUCAUCUGAUCAUGUGCUGGAUUCAGAGAAGGAAAUUUGUUUAAGAUUACCUGAAGCGGACGCGGCGGAGCUCGCGGGCGCCGUCGGCGAGCUCGCGGACGGUGAUGUACACGCCGGGCUCGUCCUGGAUCACCAAUUCCGUCACCUCCAGCUCGCUGGCGUUGCUGAUGGACACGUCGUCCGGCAUGGACGAGGUGGUCGUCCGCGUCGGCUCCGGGACGUCCGGCUCAGGGCGCUGCGGGUGUUGCUGCUGCUGCUGCUGCCAGGCGCGCUCCGACGGGUUGGACGACGACGGCGGCGGCGGGGACAGCGGGCCGCGGAAGCUGUGCUGCCGCGCCGCGCCGCCGGGCCCGCCUGGGCCGGCGCCGGUCGUUGCGGAGGGCUGCCCAUCGUCGAGCCCACCUGCGACUGCGAGUAG